CGGUGCACCGGUUGUUCCACCAGGAGCAUAGCCGGGUAGCCGAGUUCGGAUCGGAUAAACGCUGAAAGCAUCUAAGCGUGAAACCGGCCCCAAGAUGAGAUAUCCAUAGACCCCACAAAGACUAUGUGGUUGAUAGGUCAAGAGUGUAAGCACGGUAACGUGUUAGCGGAUUGAUACUAAUAGGUCGGAAGUUUGACCAA
rnacentral:rRNA from 1 species